GCGCCGGCCAACUACGUGCCAGCAGCCGCGGUAAGACGUAGGGCGCGAGCGUUGUCCGGAUUUAUUGGGCGUAAAGAGCUCGUAGGCGGCUUGUCGCGUCGUUCGUGAAAACCUGCAGCUCAACUGCAGGCUUGCGGUCGAUACGGGCAGGCUGGAGUUCGGUAGGGGAGACUGGAAUUCCUGGUGUAGCGGUGAAAUGCGCAGAUAUCAGGAGGAACACCGGUGGCGAAGGCGGGUCUCUGGGCCGAUACUGACGCUGAGGAGCGAAAGCGUGGGGAGCGAACAGGAUUAGAUACCCUGGUAGUCCACGCUGUAAACGUUGGGCGCUAGGUGUGGGGGGCCUCUCCGGUUCUCUGUGCCGCAGCUAACGCAUUAAGCGCCCCGCCUGGGGAGUACGGCCGCA
rnacentral:rRNA from 1 species